CAGAACGAAGAACAUAUCAGGUUGCAGGUCCAAACUCAUUGUGGCACAUUGCUGGAAAUCACAAGCUGAUAAGGUGGAGGAUAGUCAUUGAUGGUGCUAUUGAUGGAUACAGUCGUCUUGUGGUCUUCCUUCAUGCCUCAAACAACAACCGUAGCAGUACCGUUUUAUCAAGUAUCAUCAGAGCCGUGUAUCCUAUGGUGUACCCUGGAGGGUCCGGACGGACAGAGGUGGGGAAAACAAUGCUGUCUGCCUGAUGAUGAACAUUUUCAGAGGCUUUGAUCGUGGAAGUGCCCUAAGAGGAAGGAGUACCCAUAAUCAGAGAACUGAGAGGCUCUGAGGUGAUCUGUGGCGAGGAAUGACCAAUGUCUACUGUGAUUUAUUUCACCACCUGGAGGAGGAAGGCAUCAUUGACAUUGACAAUGAAAUGCACCUUUGGGCUCUCCAUUACAUCUAUCUCCCAAGGAUCAACAGAGAUUUGAAAGACUUCACUCAACAGUGGAACAAUCAUGGCUUAUGGACAGAGAGACACUUGAGCCCAUUACAGAUUUUUGUCCGAGGCAGCCUCCUAGUAGAACUAUGUAAUCCACUAAGUGGCACCAGAGGGAGUCAUGGUAUUGAACUCAUCACUGGCUUAAUAUACUUUCUGGACUCCACAUAUCACUGAGACAGUUCAAUUAUUGACUGAAACAUAAUAGCAGCAAGUGGAAAGACUUCAAAAUAUCUAGGUGACUGGAUACAUAUAAUGUGAAAAGUUAUAAUACGUGUUUACUAUGUAACAUUGAGUAGUGGAGAUACAAGAACGAGCUGUGUGACACUGACAAUAAAAAAUGUUGAGUGAUUUUUAAAGUGUGUAAGAUGGAAGUUGUGAAAUGGAAAGUUUACAACUGAAACUGAAUCUCGAUAAAGUCAACUUGAUUAAUCUAAAAGUUACAGCUGUUGAUUUUGAUAAAUACAACUAUAAAGCAGUGACAGUAAAUAAUUAAAAA